rnacentral:rRNA from 1 species
AUUGAACGCUGGCGGCAGGCCUAACACAUGCAAGUCGAGCGGAUGAAGGGAGCUUUCUCCUGGAUUCAGCGGCGGACGGGUGAGUAAUGCCUAGGAAUCUGCCUGGUAGUUGGGGAUAACGUCCGGAAACGGGCGCCAAUACCGCAUACGUCCUGAGGGAGAAAGUGGGGGAUCUUCGGACCUCACGCUAUCAGAUGAGCCUAGGUCGGAUUAGCUAGUUGGUGGGGUAAAGGCCUACCAAGGCGACGAUCCGUAACUGGUCUGAGAGGAUGAUCAGUCACACUGGAACUGAGACACGGUCCAGACUCCUACGGGAGGCAGCAGUGGGGAAUAUUGGACAAUGGGCGAAAGCCUGAUCCAGCCAUGCCGCGUGUGUGAAGAAGGUCUUCGGAUUGUAAAGCACUUUAAGUUGGGAGGAAGGGCAGUAAGUUAAUACCUUGAUGUUUUGACGUUACCAACAGAAUAAGCACCGGCUAACUUCGUG